GCCUGUAGGGUUUGUCAAGGUCACACAGCUGAGCUGGCCGCGUCCUUCAGUAGUGGCGAAGGGGAGGGGCGUGAAGAGGCCGACAGGAACAGCGGAAGGGAGAGAAGGUGGCCGGAAGCUUCCGCUGGAAACAUUUCAGAGGGGCAGUUGUGCUCGAGUCUGAGGGCAGUCCUCAAAUCCACAGCCCUUCUAGAAAGGAAGGUUGCGUGGGGACACCUGCUCGCGGCCGGGCUACCUGUGAACGGCCGAGUGUGAGGGGUUUUGAGGUUUUUGAGCCUUCACUGACGUCCUCCAGGCUUUUCUGCUACUGGCGUCUGGGACUGAAUGCAAGAAAGAUUCGGAACCUUCCAGAAAAUGAGGUUGUGUGCAAUGGAGAGGGUACCGGCAGAAGCUCUCCAAUCAGACAGACUCAGUGAGGUCCUGGCUCUGCUGCUGACUGUGUGUGACUUUGGGCAAGUUACUGAACUCCUAGCUUCAGUUUCCUCAACCAUGACGUGGGGAUAAUAACAGUAUCACCCUCACAGGGCUGUUUUAAGGACAAAAUGAGCUUUCCCUGGAGUUGGUCAGUGAUGGGUCUCCAGCGCCUCUGCGGCCCUCAGUCCGUGCACAGCAGCCUCCUCGGUGGCUCCUCGCUCUGGUUCAGAUGCCGAGAAAUCAGUCCCUACCCGGUGGCUUUCAGGGUCAGAAAGACAUGAACACUGCUGUUCCCGGUUUCAAAGACAGGGGGACAUUGGCCAACCUUGGAGUUACCAGAAGCAAGAUCCCUACUCUGCAGGACUAUCUGAAACCUUUGGGAUGUGCUGGAAAUAUCCUUUCUGGAGGCACAAGAGGACCCCUGAAAGCCGACACCCUUUGCCGACCAGCAGCUGUAGGAACAGCAGGAACGACCGUGUCCCUUCCGACCCCUUCCGUGAGAAAGACCUCCUUCUUCACCCCCCUCCACACAGUGGCAACACGUGGUGUCCCUGGUCGCUCAGAUGGUCCCAUGUGGCCAGGCUGAUUAUAUCACAUGGAAACAUGCCAGAACUAAACAAGAUAACAACGGUCCCAAUGAACUCAACAGAUGCCCGUCUUGUAGGUUGUGAGAAAGCGCGUGCCUCUCAUGGUUGGGUUUGGAGUUCUUGGGCAAUCUUGCAUCUUCGUGUGGACACCAUUCCCCCUCCCCAGUCCUGGCAGAAUGUGUGACGAGCAGACCCCCACAUCCAUCCAUUCAUACGUAGCGGUAUGAUAAGGAAACGUGAUGUGCUGCCCAGGCUCUGGGUUGGGAGUCAUGUAAACCUUGGUUCCAAACCCUGAACUCACUUCUGGGGCGCCCGGGGGGGCUCAGUCAGUUAAGCAUCAGACUCUUGGUUUCGGCUCAGGUCAUGAUCUCACAGUUUCGUGGGUUCGGGACCCACGCUGGGCGGAGCCUGCUUGGGAUUCUCUGUCUCCCUCUCUCUAGCCCUUCCUCACUUGCGCUGUCUCUCUCUCUCUCUCUCUCUCUCUCUCUCAAAAAUAGAUAAAAAUAAACUUAAAAAUUAAACCCUAACUCACUUCUUGCUAGCUAUGUGAUUUGGGGCAAAGUAUUUUCCAAGCCCAUUGGCAGGAUGGGACCAGUAAUAUCUUCCCUGUGAAGUUGUUUGUGAAAAUUAUUGUUAAUGUGUACGUAGCACCAGCCACAGGAGAGCAGGUGGCCGGAGAGGAGCCUCCUACUGACGGACAAGAGCUGACCGUGUGUUCAGCGAUGCCAUGUUGGAGGCUCGAAAUUGGCCACGGCAAGAGUAUUUCCUCCGUAGGAAUUAGCAAAUGCUGCAAAGUAGGGCUUUUUUGUUUUGUUUUGUUUUCUCUCCCCAAGACCUUAUUUGUCCGCACACUACUGCAUAGUAGACACUCAAUAAAUGUAGCUAUUAUUAGCAAACUCAGGGAAAACUUAUGUUGAUUCAAAACGUAGAAAUAGAAUACAUCCAUUAUAUGGAACACAAAAUCACUGCUUGUUUUACAAGAAAAGUGAUAUCACAUCUGCCCCCAAAUUGAUCACCCAGAAAGAUGAAUGCAUAGCCUCUUUGGGUCCAUGGAGCUUGUCGGCGAGAUCUAUUGCUUUUGCUUAUUGAACUUGGGAGCAUAUUUUGUGUUGCUUCUAGUAACUCUGGUAAUCGUUUGGCUUAUAAGAAUGUGCUGGCUAAAACCCAAGCUGAUGGAAAAAGAGAGAGAGAGAGAGAGAGAGAGAGAGAGAGUUUUGGCAGCAGUUUUCUCUAUUUCCAUGAAGAAGCAGCUUGUCAACCAACAAACAUCCAACACUGUGCUUGAUUCUACUGCUGAUGCAGGAAAUUGGCAGAAUGAUUCUCGACUUCAUGAAGUUCCUAGCCUACAAGGGAUAGCGCGGGAGAAGGCAUGAUCUCACGGUUCAUGGGUUCGAGCCCCGCGUCAAACUUGCUGCUGUCAGCGUGGAGCUCGCUUUGGGUUGAUUCUCUGUCUCCAUCUCUCUGCCCUUCCCCUAUUUGCUCUC